UACAUAGGAUGCAAGCGUUAUCCGGAUUUACUGGGCGUAAAACGAGCGCAGGCGGGUUAACAAGUUUGGUAUGAAAGGCUUUUGCUUAACGAAAGUUUGUAUCAAAAACUGUUAAUCUAGAGUGUAGUAGAGAGUUCUGGAAUUCCAUGUGGAGCGGUGGAAUGCGUAGAUAUAUGGAAGAACACCAGUGGCGAAGGCGAGAACUUAGGCUAUCACUGACGCUUAGGCUCGAAAGUGUGGGGAGCAAAUAG
rnacentral:rRNA from 1 species